GAUGAACGCUGACAGCAUGCUUAACACAUGCAAGUCUUUGGCGAAGCUGUGCUUGCACAGCCUAGCCAAGGCGGACGGGUGAGUAACGCGUAAGGAACUUGCCCUGCAGUCAGGGAUAACAGACGGAAACGACUGAUAAGACCUGGUAAAGUCAGGCGGACUCAUGUCCAGCCUGAUGAAAAGAGAGGCUGCAGGAGAGCCUUGCGUCCUAUUAGCUUGUUGGUGGGGUAACGGCCCACCAAGGCGAUGAUAGGUAGCCGGCCUGGGGGGGUGGACGGCCACAAGGGGACUGGGAUACGGCCCUUACUCCUACGGGAGGCAGCAGUGGGGAAUAUUGGACAAGGGGGGCAACCCUGAUCCAGCAAUUCUGUGUGCACGAUGAAGGUUUUCGGAUUGUAAAGUGCUUUCAGCAGGGAAGAAAAAAAUGACGGUACCUGCAGAAGAAGCGACGGCUAAAUACGUG
rnacentral:rRNA from 1 species